UCUUCAAACUGUUCGUCGCAGAUUUCGAUUCUUUUAUAGAAGACUGGCUUACACGUUGCCGCUUUUCUGCAGGUUUCAAUAUCUAAAACAUAGUAUUAAUAAAAGAAUGCCAAUCGUUAAAUGGAAUACUCACCUGAAAGCUACAAAGCAAAUCCUCAUUAACACUCAUCAUGGCUCCCACAUUAUCAAAUUCACCACAAUAGUUGGGAGCGCUGAAAAUAGUAACCAGUUGACGUUUGCCAAAAAACUCGUAACCAUCUUCGACGACUUGGUGAGCUCGACAAAUUAAAUCCAAGUCGUGCUUUUGCAAAAACCGGCUCACCACAUCGGCACCGAAUGUAUAAGAUACACCGCGAUCGUUCUCACCCCAUCCCGUCAAGUCCUUUUCAGGGUCGGACCAAACUAAAUCACAAAGCAGUCCUGUGUCGGGAAUGUCGGUUGGACGAAUGAUACGCUGAAUCUGAUCCAGAGAA